AUUUCUGUUCAGCACGUCACAUUUGUUCUUGCAAACAAAAUUGUUGCAGCUGCUAACAAGCACUAGAGAUAAAACUUGGAUAAGAAGAAACUCAACAGUUGGAACGAACUCGGUUCUCCAUCUUUCACAUUCUUCACAACUCAACAAGUAGAAUUUAACCAGCAUGAAAAGUGACAAGCUCAUAUUCAAUAAGUGAAAAAUUGUUGUCCUCCUUCACAUUGAAGUUUGCCGGUUCAGUGACUUCAACGAGGCCCCAUUUGUCCACAGCAAGCCUCAUUGUUGUCCCUUUGAACAUAUCAAUCUUUGCAUUGCGGAGAAUAACAGUUUUGCCGGUCAACUGCCAUCAGGUAUAUGCUUGUUAGAUACCCCCAUGUAAAACCUUUUUAACCAUAUAUCAGUCAGACAAACGUGCAUUGAUGUUGAGCGUGUCCUAACAGACGAGUCGAGGAUCAACAAAUUUUAGUAAAGUAUAUAAAAGGAACAUAUUAGAAGAGGAUUUAACUUGUUUUGUUCAUAAGCCCAGAGAGUAGACUUGCCAGAUGAUCAUUUAUUAACCUAUUGUUAUCACGAGAAGCAACAUUACAAUAACAUGAGGCACAUAAUAUGAAUUUUAUGAACAAUCAGCUGUCUAACAAGUACAAUACUAAAUAUAUGCUUGAAUGAUAUACUAAUGAGUCUGAAAACAUUUAUUGGCAAAUGUGCCUGGGUGAACAUUGGAGCAAGAGUUCUGUCAAGGGGUACAAAAUAAUUUCCGUGCAGAAAGAGAUCUGUCAAGAGUUUACAAAUAAUCAUUCCAUUAUUCCAAUUCAUACUCCUUCGGUUUGGAAUACAAGAUGUUUUUUUUUUUGUAGUUACUCCAUUAGGCGGGCAGAGCAGAGUAAAAUCAUGCGAUAUGAGUUGACAGUGAUAAAAAAAGAGAGCAAAUUUUAAGGAACCACAGUUCUCGGGGCAGUGUUCUCACAGAACAUCACAUUUCGUUAAUUUUCUCAAAUAACCACCCUUCUUCGGACUAAUUGUCUCAAUUGCCCCAAAACUGAUGGUUAAGCGCAUUUGACACAUUUCCUUACAGGUGGGGUCCACUGUCAGGUCCACACUUGAUGCCAAAUAUUAUUAAAAUUUCCACACAAAACAGAAUAAAAUUUCCAUCAGACAUCGAUGCCACCUAACGGUAGGGUAUGCGCCCGACGUGGCACCUGACAGUGGGCCCCACCUGUAAGGAAACAUGUCAAACGCGCUUAACCAUCGGUUUUGGGCCACUUGAGAAGAUUAGUUGAAGUGUGUUUUUCCCAAAAAAAUAACGAAAUGUGUCAUUCUGUGAGAAGACUGCCCUGAGAACCGGAGACUCUUUGAAAUUUACUGGAAAAAAAACAGUAUCUAUUGAUGCAUGACCAUCUUUCCUUGGAUUAAAAUAUUGCAGCAGCAGCUUGAGUGAAAAAAAAGAAGUAAGUGCAGCUUAACCACUAUACGAGUAGGUGCGGUAGUGUUUUUACAAACCAGAUGAACCCGGUUCAGAUUUCACAUGACAUAGUACAACAAACAGUACUCCCUUCCUUAUCACGCGACAAUAACUCACGGCUGACGUGAUGAAUGAUCAUGUGGAGAGGAGCAAGAGGUAUUUAAAACCUCACGCUGCCAAAAUGCUCGGGGCCGGGCAAGUUUAACUUUGAUCACUUGCAUGGAUGCUCCUUGUCCGUAGCCCAUGACUUCCAUCAAUGCGAGACUUGUGCAAAUGUCUCCUGGCUGGAUCUCACACUCACGCAGCAGCGCGCACCAAAUCCCACUGCGCGCCAUGCACGCUCUCGGCCACCAGCCCACCACCCGCAAUCCCCGCAUCAUCGCACGGGGCCCUUUCCAAUCUAUCCCUGUGUAAUCAGUUUGCCUUUCCUUCCUCUUACCAUCGUUUGCUACCAAAAGCGGUCCAAUUAUCCCAGACCCACAUCAUAUCGGUGGAAGGUGGUGCUAUAUAUACAAGCCGGAAGGCGCGCACGGAAACAAACGGACCUGCCGUGCUCGUUGCGUUCGUUGUAGAGUACUGCCACCAGCUUCCACCGACGACGACGUACGCUUCCAUGGCUUCCUCUGCAGCACCCAGUCUCUUCCUCCUGGCCGUGGCGUUCCUCGCCCUCCCGGCGCCCCGCGUGGACGCGUGGGGUGGCCGCUUCUUCUUCAGCAAGAUGGCGCCCCCCGAAGCCGUCGAGGCCGACCACGCGCCGGCCACCACCGUGGCAACAGAAGCGUUCGACCCCCACGCCAACAGCGCGCCGGCAUUCCCGUCCCGGCCUUCCAGCAACAGCAACAACCGCGGCUACGGCCUCUACGGGCGCCCAGAGGAGGAUGAGGAAGAGAACUACCCGCCGGCCUACUUCCGCCGCGGCGUGCACCACGACGCCGAGAAGCUUACCACCACGACCAACGUGGUGCCGCACGAGAAGGAGGCCGCCGCGGGGCGAGAAACAGAAUCAUCGGGCGAAGGCGAGGAAACGAGCACCGGGCCGUUGUUCCCGGAGGACGGCAGCGGCAGGGGCCGGCCGCUGUCGUACGUGCGCGCCCGGCGGGGGGGAGGCAACAAGCACGGGCGCGACGACUACGGGAUGAGCGACACGAGGCUGUACGAGAACGGCCGGUACUACUACGACGUGGCCACCGACAAGUACGGCUACGGCUACGAGUCCAACCCGGUGCGGACGCCGCGCCCCGUUCAGGACAACGGCUCGGGCUACGGCCGCGAUCCCCGCCGGUCCGGGAGGUAUGCAGGCGACAAUGCGGCUGCUGGAUCAUACGAGAGCAGGAACCGCGACGGGUUCGGCGCCGGUGGGAAUGGGAUGGCGGAGAAGCAGAGCAACGACGACGGCUUCCAGAGAAACCAGAAUGGACAGUACAUUCCAUGAGUGGGACGAGGCAUGCAUGCGCAUGUUUAAGCUUGCGAUCAUCAAACAUAUUACGCGAUAUAUUUGCUUGUUAAGAUAUGUAACACCACUGUAGUCUACUACUACGUUGCUCCUUGUGUAUGCUGCAAGCUAGCUAGUACACUUCGUUCGUUACCCCUGCUUAAAGUCUGAGCUAGCUGCCAAUUAAUGUGGAAUGGCGAUGGAACGUACGUACGGAUUACAAAUAAUUUGUGUGGAAUGUACUAUACUACAGUGUUGUUAGCAAAUGUUUCUGUUCAUUUUGUCGGUGCACGUACGGGCCCAAUUCGCGUGCUACAGAGAAUGAGGGGAGGGUGUGUGAUAAAUCAUGCCUCAAGGCGUGCGUGACUGAUUGAGUGUCAUAUUUUUCGUGUCUGCGUUGUGCAACACCGGGCUUAAAAAGAUUCCAAUUUCGCACGAACAUUGUACGGCCCAGUGUCUUUUGGCACAAAAAAAAAAAGUAGCGCAGUGUCUAUUCCGAGGGCACCUACCUCGCGCAGUCAAUUUGCUUUCUUCACGUCGAUGCAUGGUUGAUGAAGUGGCGCGCGAUAAUAUCAACAGACAAAGACAAAACUGCAUCAACAAGUAGGCCAACAAGUGUCCUCGUCCAAGGACAAAGGUGCACGGCGAAGCUGCAGUUCCGGCUUGGCUACUUGCAUCGGAUCCCGCUGGCGACACCAACCAAACAAUGAAACAACGACGACCCAUCAACCAAUCAGUCCAUGACCGUGUGUAGGCUGCACAGCUGGAUCACUGCACCACUUUAAUCGGUGCAACAAACCCUUCGGUUCAUUAAACCCGCCCCUCGAAAGCACAAUGCUUUUUGCUCGGAAGUAGAUGUGUAUUGACACCGUUAGGUUUGGGGCACAGUGCUGCUUCCUUGCUCCUCAGAUUCAGGCCACGAAACGAAUCGCGAUGGCCAUGGACCGGACUUCAUGGGCCAGAUGAAUCUUAGCCCAAACCAGAAAGUUGCGAGGCAGGAUUGGGGGCCUGAUUGUCAAUGGGCCGGUCGAUAAUGUCAAGAUGCGCAACCACAGCAUGCAACCAUGGCGUUGUCCAGCCCAACUGCCUGUAGGGUUUUAGCCUCGCUCUCUCCUUCCUGCCGCGCGCCACCGUACCACGCACACGCCGCGCCCAGCCGCAAUGGCCGCCGCCGCCGCGAGAUCCUUCCUCCGAUCCGCACCCGCCGCCUCCUCCUCCCUCCGUGGAUCGGCCGCCAGAGCCGCUUCCCGUGCAUGUCCGCCUCCGCUCCCGAGGCGGUUCCCGGCCUCUGCUCCCCGCGUCCUCCUAAGGUACGAGGGCUCUUGGUUACUGGGAGGUUAGUUUUUCGAUUCCCAUUCACUUGAUCUGGAUGAGAAUUUUCUGUAUCCGUGUUUCGGCAUCUGGAGGUCCCCGGUGGAGAUGACCAGCUUCUGCGUGGAGUCGCUGAUGCCCAUGCACAGUGCCACGGCGUCGGCGCUCAUGACGUCUCUCCUCGCUGCCCCGGCUCGCACGGGGUUUGGCUGGCUUUCAGAAGGUGAUUUCCCUUAUAUUUCUGUUUUUCUUCUGUUUCUGCAAUGUUAGAUGGCUUCAGUUAUGAAGCAUAUUUGUUUGUGGCUAUGGAGUAUGGACUGCAUAGUAGAUUUGUUUGUUAAUAAAAUAAUCAGGCCGAUGUACAGGUCUAGUACUGAGUGAUAAUUAUAGGAUUUAGCUGUGUAUUAAGUGCGCAUUUAAGCAUGUCUUAUUAUUUGUCGACAAGUGAACACAAUAACUCAAAUGAGUUCGUUGUCUGCCCUGGCCAGAAUGCUAUUCUGUUCUGCUCGUAUGUUAUUUGAGCUCUGACAUUGUGUGAAACCUCAAUCUAAUUCUGCCUCCUGCACCUAAGUGUCGGCCCAACUUGAACAAUGAGCCCCCAUUGCCACUGAACAGACUACCAAGCAAAUUAGUAAAAGUUGGGUGCAUAUCAGUCUCCAACUCUCCGCCCCUUUGGCCCUUCGUAUGUGUCAAUACAACUUUCGCCAGAACUAACAUGUUUUUCAUGGUUUUUAUUUAUGUUUUGUUUUAAUCCUUAUUGUCAACUUCUUUAGAUCUGAUAGGAAGAAAAGCCCAUUUUUAUGCAUCUGUGUUUACAAGGAUACUCAUCGUUGGCAAUUUUCUAGUUAUACGAACAGUUUCGAAUAUUUCAAAUGAAGCUAAAGCUUACUUGGACUAGACAGGCUAGUGUUACGUCUCAUGCAGGUCUUACAUUUCUUGACAUUAUUUCUAAAGUGUCUCAUAUCCGUUAUGUAUAAUUAUAUUUAGGGAGAGUUUUGUCAGACUUAUAUAAAUGUAAUUCAUUUUUGUCUAGAUAUAAAUAGAAAACACCAUGAAAUGUCCCAUUUGAAACCAGUCUUAUACUUCCACGUGGUCCUUGUUGUAGGUCAAGACAAAACUAGAUGAACAUGAAGCCCCAAAAGGUGAAUAAAACAUAAGGGCUCACUAAUAACUGUUGAUGGUUAGGUUCCUUCACUAAGUUAUGGCUGAGAAGGAUUCAUGGAAAGAGGAGACAAUUGCACUUACAAAGGAAUUACGCCAAAGUUCAUUUAUGGGGCCGAUCAUAGGCAUGUAACAUGACAUUAAAACAAUACCAGAUAAUGUAUUGAGUUUGACCUUCUAUUGUUUCUUCUAGUCUUGCAAACUGUGUUAGUCCAAAUUUUCCAUCCCAAAACAAUUGUCUUGCCUAAAGAAAACCCGCCUCUAAAUACAGUUAAUCUUGAACGAUCCACAUUGUAGGUGUCUUGUUGACUGUUUGGCCAUACCAGAGACCCUUUCUGGAAAAGCUUUCCUUUGGUUUAAAGCUAUUGUACAUUUAGUAUUUAAAUAGAAUGGUGUUAUAAUUUGAACAUGCAUAUAGUCAGGAAUGACAUAUUUGAGGCAAAAGUGUCACUGAUUCUUUUGUAUUGACCCAGCUGGCAAUGAUGAUGUAUGACAAUUUCUAGGUGGAAUGUAGCAGAUUAUAACCUCCUCACGUCGAACAUACAGGUCUGGUCAGAUUUUUAGUAGUAUCCAUGAUUCAUGAUAGCAUAUCUUUAUGGGGGCUCUAUAAUGUUCCUUCCAUGGUUUACACAAGAAUGCAAGAUGCCUAAAAUAUGCGUUUGUAAAAAUACCAUAUCUGCUGCAGCAAAGACGUAUCAUUUUCUUGCAUGUGAUAAAUAAAUACACCUAUGUUGAUAUGCCUGUGGCUGAGUACAUUCUAGGACUCGGUCCUCCCCAUUUCGCCUGUCAUCUGAAAGCCAUAGCAUUUCCACCAUGUUUCAUUAAAAGGUCAUUUUUAUUAGUAUCACUUUUAGAAAGUUUACUUUGCCUUGCAUGUGAAAAACAUAAAUGUGUCAGGUUUCCUUUUUAUCUUGUUUUUUUGACAAAUGGUCAGGCUUGUCUCAUUUUUAUAUCAAAGGGUAUUAGACAUCUUUUUAUUACAUUAGAUACAAAUAUCACAAAUCAGUAUUGUCUGCAAUAAUGCCUUCUCUUGUAGCCAAAAGAAUGUAUGUUUGACCCAUUUUAUCUCUAUAGACCUGUGAUCAGUGGCAAUCGGCGUCGUCUGGGAUGAAGACAUGCUAUUUUUGCCAUCUGCAUUUCUGUUUUAUCUAUGCAACCUAGAAUUUCUGGACAUGGAGCACAGUAGUUUAUAUGGUUGUAACUUUUAUGAUGUCAGUAUAAGAGUUUGGGCUUAGACUAUUCGCUUCUAUUUGUAGAUGGAUGAUUUCUUGUUGUCGGAGCUGGUUGUGAUGGUAGCUGCUACGGACCUCCCCUGUUGAGUUCAAACUAGUUUUGAUCGCCAUAUUAUCAGCCUGUACUCUGUGAUUUUGCACAAGCGUACUCAGGAUUAUACCUGACAGUGACAAGUUUAACUGAAUCUGUGGACGUCGUAUGGAUUGGAAAUAAUGUUAAAUUUUAACUCUCCCUGAUUAUACCUGAUCGUGGCAAGAUUUAACUGUAUUUGUGGCAAGUACUCCUGAUUAUGGUGUCUGCGGAGAAAUGCUGUUAAACUUGAAUGUUCAUCUCCCAAUUUAUUUUGCUUCUUGUCUUUUUAUGUCAGCCACGUCAAAAAAAUGAAAUCCAUAUAUUUUGUAUAAUCCAGCCUCCUGGAGUUUGUUCCUUCCUAGGUUUUUCUUUAAAGUUUCUUGCUCCGCAACCAGCUCCUACUGUUAAAUCUGUGAAAACUGCAAAAGAAAAUGUCCUACCUGCUUGACAAUUGGCGGCCAACUGCCAAGACCGAAAGCCGAACAGAAUCCUAAUGGACCAAAACGAUUUUAUCAUGUGUCCUAUGCAUCUAUCAUGAAAAUGAUUUUAUCCAUUGUCCUAUACACCUUGGUGGUCUGGUGGCUCGUCUCGAUUCAGCUUUGUUAAGCUAACAAGCUAGCUCGAUUCGCCUCGUUAACAUAAUGAGUCAAGGGUGUGGUCUUUUCGGCUUCUUGGACCGGCUUCUCCUAAAAGAUGCCAUCACCUAGCUUUCUGAAGAAGCUGCGUCACAAAUUUAGCUAGACUUUCAAACUAGUUUAGGCCAAACUAAUUUGGUAGCAUAAUCAAAUUUAGGUGACGGCUUCUCCAAAAAGCUAGAGGAGGGCAGUGACGGCUUCUCCAAAAAGCUAGAGGAGGGCAACUUCUCAAAGAAGCCGGUCCAGGAAGCCGAAAAGAACCGACCCUUAAUUUGUUAAACUCAUUAAGCUUGGUAACAAAAUUGAACAUGUAUGCUUACUUUGUAAGCAUGUGGUACAUCUAUGUAUACAUAUGAACUAGCAUGAUUAAAAAUGAACAGAUUUGAGUUCACAACGGUCAACUUAAACAACUCAAUAUGACUAUAUGAUCAUUCAUGUGCUGGGAGCAUAGGAUUAUAAGAACCGAGUUAAAUGAGUAACUCGUUACUUGACUCUUUAAAUUUGUUUUCGCUAACGAGUUGAAAUCCAAACUCGGCUUGACUCGUUAGACUACGAAUUCGAGCCGAGUCGAGUCGACUAUCGGGUCGUCGAGGCAUCUCAACGCCGUUGAACAUGGUGUUGUUGGUAUGUUGGACUUCAAUGCUAUGGUGGUGGAGUACUGGAGUUGAGUCGAGGAUUCAGAAAUUAAACUUUUGGAGAGGGAUCAUUUAUGCUGAAGUUUCUGACAACAGUCAAAAUCGUGAUUUUUCAUGUCUGCGACACCUUUAGACUGCAUUAACUUGUUGAUUUGGCACAAUGCAAUGUGCUAAGAACAAUUAUAAAUCCUUCAUUGGGUACAAAUUUGCAAACUAUCACCACGUGGACCAUAAACCGUGCGGCAGAUCAAGGUGGCAAUGAAACAUUACCGAGCGUGAGAUAAGUGCAGGUUAUGUGAAAAACGUGUUUAAGUGGCGUUUGAUUCCCACCUUUGAUUUGCACGACACGGUUUAGACUCGACAGUUCAGGGGAAGAGCUUGCAAAGUUGCACCGAACGAAAGUUUGCACUUGAUACAUCGACAUAUCAUGUGAAAACGUGAAAACUUUCAAUCCUCGUCAUCGGAUCUCAAAUAAAUGGAUCCGAUGAAAGGAAGCACCUCUAAUCACUUAAACAUGUUUUAUAAAAACAACCCCAUGUGAUUAGAGGUUUAAGGCUUUUUUUGAAAAUGUCUAAGGUUUUCCAUAAAAUGCUCUUAAGUAAUUUGAUGUUCCACCUUUCAUCGGAUCCAUUUAUUUAGAAUUUAAUAAUGGAUAGGACUGAAUAGAGAUUUUCACCAAGUAGUACCUGGGUAUUGUUCUGCUAGUUCAUUAAAUAAGAAAAAAAAAUGGUCACUGGUGUCAUUAUAAAUCACAGUAUAGUAAUUUGGCCAUAAUUUGUUACUCCCUCCAAUAUUUAAAAAUGUAAAUUGGGUCAGUAGUGGAUGUAAAGCUGACACCAAUGGUGGCUCCACACCACCAUAAAAUGGUGCAGAACCGUGGGGAUUCUGUAAAGAGCUACUCCGUAGUUCCGUUUGAUUCUAGCACCGAGAAGAUGUAACUCUUCAAUAUUUAAAAAACAGAAACUAAUGUAAAGCUAAAUGGCGCUUCCAACGCAGCAAACCAUGUAGAGAUCAAAUUGCUCCGCCAUAUUUCUGUUCAGCAGGUCACAUUUGUUCUUACAAACAAAAUCGCUGCAGCUGCUAACACGCACUAGAAAUAAAGCUUGGAUAAGAAGGAACUUGCAACAGUUGGAACGAACUCGGUUCUCCAUCUUUCACAUUCUUCACAACUCAACAAGCAGAAUUUAACCAGCAGGACUUCGAGAACACUUCUGAUCAAAAAGUGACAAGCUCAUAUUCAAUAAGUGAAAAAUUGUUGUCCUCCUUCACGUUGAAGUUUGCCGGUUCAGUGACUUCAACGAGGCCCCAUUUGUCCACAGCAAAGCCUCAUUGUUGUCCCUUUGAACAUAUCAAUCUUUGCAUUGCAGAGAAUAAC
rnacentral:lncRNA from 1 species